rnacentral:lncRNA from 1 species
CCCCAGCUCUCUUGCUGGCUGCACAGUGUGAGAAGCUGAAAAACUGCAACGUCUUUGGCUCUGUACAGUGCUGCUCAGCAAAAAACUAAAACAUCAGUUUGUUCUUAGCAAUGUUUUUCUCCUUAGGCAAAAGCAUAGCGUCAUACCAGGCACUAUGAAGAAAAUCGUCUCUGUUUCAGCUGUAACCAGGAAAGAGGAACAGCUGGUUGGGAUCAAGCAGCAAGUCUAUCCAGGCUUGUCUGAAUCCCUCCUCUUCCUUCUUCAGAUGGUUUGAGCAAAGAACACAUCAAAGAUGUUGACGUGUCUCUCAUCAACUAAAUACCAGCAGCCAAGUUAUCUAAGGUCAUUUUCUGCCUCCCUGCCACUGGGAAGAAAGUGCCUUCAGGGGUUCUCAUUGUGUACCCCAGAAGUACACAGCAUAACAACUCCUGAGUAAACACAGGCACAGUCAGCAUCCCCCAUCCUCGCCUCUGAAACAGUUUGUAUUCACAAUAAAACCCCUGCUUUGAUCUCUUGCCAAGAAUAACACAGACAGUCUAUUCAAACAUCUUUAAUAACAUGAUAUAAUUAAAAAUAUCUAACCUGCAACUCAAAGAAAUGAAUGUGAAGCUUGUUUCAGUCUGUUUCCACACCCCUCCAAACUUG